CCCUUAGAUGUUCUGGGCCGCACGCGCGCUACACUGAUGCAUUCAACGAGUUUCUUCCUGGUCCGAGAGGAAUGGGUAACCUUUUGAAAGUGCAUCGUGAUAGGGAUAGACUAUUGCAAUUAUUGGUCUUCAACGAGGAAUUCCUAGUAGACGUAGUUCAUCAGACUGCAUCGAUUACGUCCCUGUCCUUUGUACACACCGCCCGUCGCUCCUACCGAUUGAAUGCUCAGGUGAGCCAUUCGGACUUUCAUCAUGCUGGUUUCCAGUUUUGAUGAAGGAAAGUCUUGCGAACCUUAUCAUUUAGAGGAAGGAGAAGGCGUAACA
rnacentral:rRNA from 1 species